rnacentral:snRNA from 1 species
AUACUUACCUGGCAGGGGAGAUACCAUGAUCACGAAGGUGAUUUUCCCAGGGUGAGGCUCACCCAUUGCACCAUGCUGUUUUGAUUACAACUGCCCUGUAGUAUGUCCUGAAAUCUGGUAUUGUGAUGCCUCCAGCUUUGUUUUUGUUGUACAAGAUUGCUUAAGAUAUUC